GAAAAAUGAUUAACAUAACAAUUUCGGUAUUAUCAUAUUAAGUAGGUCCUUACAAAUCCCUAAUUAACAUUUCUACUAAUUGUUAGAAAAUUUUACAUCACAAAGCUUUCGAUAGAACUUGAAAAAUUUUGACAAGAAUUUUAUAACAAAAUAUAUACACGUAAAACCAUUUUUAAUUAUUUUUUUAUCAAAUUUUCUAACAAAUUUGUUCUUAUUAUAAAUAUGUAUCCAAUAUAUAUCCCGUGCAUCGCACGGGCAAACGAACUAG
rnacentral:lncRNA from 1 species